rnacentral:rRNA from 1 species
CCUACGGGAGGCAGCAGUGGGGAAUAUUGGACAAUGGGCGCAAGCCUGAUCCAGCAAUGCCGCGUGAGUGAUGAAGGCCUUAGGGUUGUAAAGCUCUUUUACCAGGGAUGAUAAUGACAGUACCUGGAGAAUAAGCUCCGGCUAACUCCGUGCCAGCAGCCGCGGUAAUACGGAGGGAGCUAGCGUUGUUCGGAAUUACUGGGCGUAAAGCGUACGUAGGCGGUUAUUCAAGUCAGAGGUGAAAGCCCGGGGCUCAACCCCGGAACUGCCUUUGAAACUAGGUAGCUAGAAUCUUGGAGAGGUCAGUGGAAUUCCGAGUGUAGAGGUGAAAUUCGUAGAUAUUCGGAAGAACACCAGUGGCGAAGGCGACUGACUGGACAAGUAUUGACGCUGAGGUACGAAAGCGUGGGGAGCAAACAGGAUUAGAUACCCUGGUAGUCCACGCCGUAAACGAUGAUAACUAGCUGUCCGGUCACUUGGUGACUGGGUGGCGCAGCUAACGCAUUAAGUUAUCCGCCUGGGGAGUACGGUGCAAGNUUAAAACUCAAAGGAAUUGACGG